rnacentral:rRNA from 1 species
UACGGGGGGGGCAAGCGUUGUUCGGAAUUACUGGGCGUAAAGGGCUCGUAGGCGGCCAACUAAGUCCGACGUGAAAUCCCCAGGCUCAACCUGGGAACUGCGUCGGAUACUGGAUGGCUUGAAUUCGGGAGAGGGAUGCAGAAUUCCAGGUGUAGCGGUGAAAUGCGUAGAUAUCUGGAGGAAUACCGGUGGCGAAGGCGGCAUCCUGGACCGACAUUGACGCUGAGGAGCGAAAGCUAGGGGAGCGAACGGG